UGCCCCAUGGCUGAGUUGGUUACAGCGUCCGACUGUUAGCAGCGUUGCAAGCGGUAUCGGAAGGUCGUGAGUUCGAGCCUCACUGGGGCAG